rnacentral:rRNA from 1 species
UGGGGAAUAUUGCACAAUGGGCGCAAGCCUGAUGCGGCCAUGCCGCGUGUAUGAAGAAGGCCUUCGGGUUGUAAAGUACUUUCAGCGGGGAGGAAGGCGAUAAGGUUAAUAACCUUGUCGAUUGACGUUACCCGCAGAAGAAGCACCGGCUAACUCCGUGCCAGCAGCCGCGGUAAUACGGAGGGUGCAAGCGUUAAUCGGAAUUACUGGGCGUAAAGCGCACGCAGGCGGUCUGUCAAGUCGGAUGUGAAAUCCCCGGGCUCAACCUGGGAACUGCAUUCGAAACUGGCAGGCUAGAGUCUUGUAGAGGGGGGUAGAAUUCCAGGUGUAGCGGUGAAAUGCGUAGAGAUCUGGAGGAAUACCGGUGGCGAAGGCGGCCCCCUGGACAAAGACUGACGCUCAGGUGCGAAAGCGUGGGGAGCAAACA